AUUUAUAUAGUUUAUACAAAACUUUACAUUUUCAUUGUAAGAAAAAAAAUUAUUUUUAUAAAUUUUA
rnacentral:tRNA from 1 species